rnacentral:rRNA from 1 species
AAUCAACGCUGGCGGCGUGCCUCAGACAUGCAAGUCGAACGCGAAAGUCCCCUUCGGGGGAUAAGUAGAGUGGCGCACGGGUGAGUAACACGUAGGUAAUCUACCUUCGGGUGGGGAAUAACCCAGGGAAACUUGGGCUAACACCGCAUAAUGCAGCGGCACCACAUGGUGACAGUUGUUAAAGCGGGGGAUUUUAGGACCUCGCGCCUGAAGAGGAGCCUGCGGCAGAUUAGCUAGUUGGUAAGGUAACGGCUUACCAAGGCGACGAUCUGUAACCGGCCUGAGAGGGCGGUCGGUCACACUGACACUGACAUACGGGUCAGACUCCUACGGGAGGCAGCAGUCGGGAAUUUUGGGCAAUGGGCGAAAGCCUGACCCAGCAACGCCGCGUGAAGGAUGAAAUCCCUCGGGAUGUAAACUUCGCAAGAUUGGGAAGAAUUAGUAGGGGUUAAUACCCCCUAUGAUGACGGUACCUUUUGUAAGCUCCGGCUAACUCCGUGCCAGCAGCCGCGGUAAUACGGGGGGAGCG